rfam:Rhizobium sp. PDO1-076 strain PDO-076 ctg149, whole genome shotgun sequence.
AGGAACCGGAUGCGGGAAAUCCGCUCGUCCGGGUCUGUGAGGGGUGGGGAUGGUAACGUCCCCACCUACUCGGC